rnacentral:rRNA from 2 species
CGGGGGCAUCAGUAUUCAAUUGUCAGAGGUGAAAUUCUUGGAUUUAUUGAAGACUAACUACUGCGAAAGCAUUUGCCAAGGAUGUUUUCAUUAAUCAGGAACGAAAGUUAGGGGAUCGAAGACGAUCAGAUACCGUCGUAGUCUUAACCAUAAACUAUGCCGACUAGGGAUCGGACGGUGUUAUUUUUUGACCCGUUCGGCACCUUACGAGAAAUCAAAGUGCUUGGGCUCCAGGGGGAGUAUGGUCGCAAGGCUGAAACUUAAAGAAAUUGACGGAAGGGCACCACCAGGGGUGGAGCCUGCGGCUUA